rnacentral:rRNA from 1 species
AUUGAACGCUGGCGGCAUGCCUUACACAUGCAAGUCGAACGGUAACAGGUCUUCGGAUGCUGACGAGUGGCGAACGGGUGAGUAAUACAUCGGAACGUGCCUAGUAGUGGGGGAUAACUACUCGAAAGAGUGGCUAAUACCGCAUGAGAUCUACGGAUGAAAGCAGGGGAUCGCAAGACCUUGUGCUACUAGAGCGGCCGAUGGCAGAUUAGGUAGUUGGUGGGAUAAAAGCUUACCAAGCCGACGAUCUGUAGCUGGUCUGAGAGGACGAUCAGCCACACUGGGACUGAGACACGGCCCAGACUCCUACGGGAGGCAGCAGUGGGGAAUUUUGGACAAUGGGCGCAAGCCUGAUCCAGCAAUGCCGCGUGCAGGAUGAAGGCCUUCGGGUUGUAAACCGCUUUUGUACGGAGCGAAAAGCCCUGGGUUAAUACCCUGGGGUCAUGACGGUACCGUAAGAAUAAGCACCGGCUAACUACGUGCCAGCCGCCGCUGUAACAC